rnacentral:lncRNA from 1 species
UUUGUUUUCAUCUUGCACCUCUUUAACUUAAUGAUUAUAGGCUGUCAAGUGUGACAUCCUAUCUUGUGCAUACUCUCUAUGAGCCAUAAAAAUAGACUAAAGGGUCAGGAUUGGUGCUCGUUAGUGGUGGACUAUGGUAUCACCCAAAACGUUCGAAAAAUGGGGGCAAGACUAUAACAUACAAAGAAACGACCCAAUUUAAAAC